AUUGAACGCUGGCGGCAGGCCUAACACAUGCAAGUCGAACGAGUGGCGGACGGGUGAGUAAUGUCUGGGAAACUGCCUGAUGGAGGGGGAUAAAUAAUGGAAACGGUAGCUAAUAACGCAUACCAUCGGAUGUGCCCAGAUGGGAUUAGCUAGUAGGGUGGGUAAAGGCUAACCUAGGAGACGAGCCCUAGCUGGGCUGAGAGGAUGACCAUCCACAGUGGAAAUGAGAGACGGUCCAGACUCCUACGGGAGGCAGCAGUGGGUAAUAUUGCACAAUGGGCGCAAGCCUGAUGCAGCCAUGCCGCGUGUAUGAAGAAGGCCUUCGGGUUGUAGAGUACUUUCAGCGGGGAGGCGUUACCCGCAGAAGAAGCACCGGCUAACUCCGUGCCAGCAGCCGCGGUAAUUC
rnacentral:rRNA from 1 species